UACGUAGGGGGCAAGCGUUGUCCGGAAUCAUUGGGCGUAAAGCGCGUGUAGGCGGCUAGGUAAGUCUGCUCUGAAAGCCCGGGGCUCAACCCCGGGAGGCGGGUGGAUACUGUCUAGCUCGAGUCCGGAAGAGGAGUGUGGAAUUCCUGGUGUAGCGGUGAAAUGCGCAGAUAUCAGGAAGAACACCCGUGGCUAAGGCGGCUCUCUAGUACGGUACUGACGCUGAGACGCGAAAGCGUGGGGAGCGAACAGG
rnacentral:rRNA from 1 species